rnacentral:rRNA from 1 species
UACGUAGGGUGCAAGCGUUGUCCGGAAUUAUUGGGCGUAAAGAGCUCGUAGGCGGUUUGUCGCGUCUGCUGUGAAAACUCGGGGCUUAACCCCGGGCCUGCAGUGGGUACGGGCAGACUAGAGUGCGGUAGGGGAGACUGGAAUUCCUGGUGUAGCGGUGAAAUGCGCAGAUACCAGGAGGAACACCGGUGGCGAAGGCGGGUCUCUGGGCCGUAACUGACGCUGAGGAGCGAAAGCGUGGGGAGCGAACAGG